UCUCCUGUUAUGCAUGUCUCUCUGCCCCUGAUAUUUAUAAUGGUCCUAUUGGAAAUCAAUUAAUAAAAUACCCCUGGGUAACAACAGCCCUUCAUGUUCAUCCCCCCUCCUCUAUCAUAUACAGCCUCUCUCUUCAUUCUUGUGGUCUCAGAACUCUGGAAAAUGUUCACGAGAGUGAUAUUAAUUCUCAGGCCACGCUUCUUAGUAUUUGUCUUCUGGAAAAUGGACACUGGAAACAUUGAUAUUGAGUUUGCAGUCAUGAUGUAAGGAAGAUAUUAAAUGAAUGAUUAGUGGAAUAACUGCGUCAGAAGAAAAGUACUACAGGAACUGCUGUGGACGUCUAAAAAGAGGCAGUAGAAUACAUUUUUGGCAAGCAAAAGCUUUUCAAGGAGGCUCAGCUUGAUAAACACUAAUACAAAUUUGAAUGCCAAGUUGAAGAGCAUUCUUUGGGGCAGUACAUAUCUUCUGCUAGACCACUGCAAACCUCAGUUCCAAGGAAAGUCUAUUGUAGACUGGAAGCCAACAUUUCACAGUUGAAAAAUAACAAGAGGGAGAACAGCCAGAAAAAGAGAAAGGGAGAAGAGAAAAAAAGGACAAACAUAAAGGAAUACAUUUUGAGGAAAAUUGUGAAGAUAAUCACCCAUUGUGCUGUCUCCAAGCUCUGCAGUUGCCAAAGCUAAUAAAAGUUUUAAAAGAAGACCAAAUUUAUUAGAGGU